rnacentral:rRNA from 1 species
ACCUAAUAGAUACCCUGGUAGUCCACGCCCUAAACGAUGCGAACUGGAUGUUGGGUACAUUACGGUACUCAGAGUCGAAAGCUAAACGCGUUAAGUUCGCCGCCUGGGGAGUACGGUCGCAAGACUGAAACUCAAAGGAAUUGACGGGGGCCCGCACAAGCGGUGGAGUAUGUGGUUUAAUUCGAUGCAACGCGAAGAACCUUACCUGGCCUUGACAUCUGUCGAAUCCUGCAGAGAUGCGGGAGUGCCGCAAGGAACGACAAGACAGGUGCUGCAUGGCUGUCGUCAGCUCGUGUCGUGAGAUGUUGGGUUAAGUCCCGCAACGAGCGCAACCCUUGUCCCUAGUUGCCAACACGUAAUGGUGGGAACUCUAGGGAGACUGCCGGUGACAAACCGGAGGAAGGUGGGGAUGACGUCAAGUCCUCAUGGCCCUUACGGCCAGGGCUACACACGUACUACAAUGGUCGGUACAGAGGGUUGCGAAGCCGCGAGGUGGAGCCAAUCCCAGAAAGCCGAUCCCAGUCCGGAUUGGAGUCUGCAAC